UCUUGUGGCAGGGUUUCCUAAGAGCAAUAAAAGAGAGGAACAGACAGAUGUAUUUCAGAGCGGUUGGAGAUUUGUAACUGAAAGCACAUCUCUGUCUGCUCUCCUCGCGAGAAACAAAGAA